CUCAGAAUCACGCUGGCGGNGUUGCCUCAGACAUGCAAGUCGAACGUGAAAGUUCCUUCGGGAAUGAGUAAAGUGGCGCACGGGUGAGUAACACGUAGGUAAUUUGCCUUUGGGUGGGGAAUACCAACCGGAAACGGUUGUUAAUACCGCAUAAUGCAGCGGCAUCAUAAGAUGACAGUUGUUAAAGUAGGGGAACUCGCAAGAGUCCUUACGCCUAAAGAGGAGCCUGCGGCAGAUUAGGUAGUUGGUGAGGUAAUGGCUCACCAAGCCUGCGAUCUGUAACCGGCCUGAGAGGGCGGUCGGUCACACUGACACUGACAUACGGGUCAGACUCCUACGGGAGGCAGCAGUCGGGAAUUUUGGGCAAUGGGCGAAAGCCUGACCCAGCAACGCCGCGUGAAGGAUGAAGCAUUUCGGUGUGUAAACUUCGCAAGAAUAGGAAGAAUAAGUUUGAAUGAAUAAUUCAAACGAUGACGGUACUAUUUGUAAGCUCCGGCUAACUCCGUGCCAGCAGCCGCGGUAAUACGGGGGGAGCAAGCGUUGUUCGGAUUUACUGGGCGUAAAGGGUGCGUAGGCGGCACCACAAGUCACUUGUGAAAUCUUUGGGCUUAACCCAAAGCCUGCAAGUGAUACUGUGGAGCUAGAGUGCAGAAGGGGCAACUGGAAUUCUCG
rnacentral:rRNA from 1 species